rnacentral:rRNA from 1 species
GACUCUAUCGAGACCGACGGCGACAAGCCGGAGGAAGUGGGGAUGAUGUCAAGUCAGCAUGGCCUUUAUAUCCUGGGCUACACACACGCUACAAUGGCAGAUACAAUAGGUUGCGAAACCGCGAGGUGGAGCCAAUCCUCAAAGUCUGUCUCAGUUCAGAUUGUAGGCUGCAACUCGCCUGCAUGAAGUUGGAGUUGCUAGUAAACGCAGGUCAGCUAUACUGCGUUGAAUACGUUCCCGGGGUUU